rnacentral:lncRNA from 1 species
AGAACAGACUAGGAGGAGCAAUGGGGGGCAGGGCGAAAAGAAGGGUGAGAUGGUGGCCCCGUGAACUGAAGUGAUGGCAGUAAAGAUGGAGACAAAAAUGACCUUGAGAGAAAUAUUCUGGAGGUUGAAGCAACCACAGCCAUGGAUGGACGAGAGGAAGGCAUAAGAGGCAGCAAGACAUUGGGUGUGAUUUGGGUUUCUGGCUUGAGCAGCAUGGCAGAGACUAUCAAAGAUGGUCAGAGAGGCUCACAACACCAUAGCGAAACCGAAACCUCAUUACAGGCAGCGAAGGCAGAACUGCAGUUGCAGAAAACAGAACUACGAUGCUGAGGGCAAACCAGAGAGUCCCCACCACACAGGGAAACAGGAACGGAGAUGACGGUGGUGAGAAAGAAGAUGGCAGAGAAUGCAAAGAUGCCUUGUGAACCAGAUUGGCAUUUCUGAAAAAGAAACCAGAGUAACUGAAGAAAAACAACAGUCGGAAAUAUACAUGCAGUUCCCAGAAAUGAACACCUGCGUCUAAAAUUGUCCACCCUUUGCCAAGGAAAAUUAGAAUCCAAAAUAUGACUAUUUCAUCCAGAAAUGCUUGAAUUUCCUAAAUGAAUAAUCAAAAAACAGUUUUAACGUAUCCGUAGAGAAGAAAGCAAAGUCAGUGUGGCACUUACCAGGAGACAAUGGAACUGUGUCUGUAUUUUGAAGCUUAACAAGUAUGACUCAUGAAUUCUACAGCAAGCCAAUCUUGUUACUCAUGUGAGCAGGCAACAAAAAGAUAUUGUCACAUCUGCAAGAACUAAGAAAAUGUACCAUCUACGUGUCCUUACCCAACUCUGUCUAACAAGGGCGACUCCAGAACAAGGUUAUGACAUAAAAGGAGUCGGAACCCGGGUGAGGCGACAAGAGCUGAGCUCAGGUUCUCUGCCUCGGCACUCUUGCGGGGAGGCGCCAGCAUGGGCACCCUCCACAGUUUGGGCCCCUCACUCACAAACCUGGCACAUCAAAACAGGCUGGCAAAAAGGUUGGUUUUUUGCUUCUGUACUUUUUGUUAUAAGCCUGUGGUGAAGUGUCCAUAUUUGGCAUAAACGAAUGUGAGUGGUCUUGGGAAUCUAAAUAUAACAUGUUUCUAAGUUACACACAACAUAAAUGAGUGUUUAUGAGUGGUCGUGGGAAUCUAAAUAAAAUACAUUUCCAAAUUACAAACCAACUUACAGGGGGCAUUUUGGUCUUUAACCUGUUUAUUAAAUCAGACACUGCCUGAACUUUCCUCCGAAGGAAGAGGAGAGGAAUGAGCAUUUAUUGAAUGCUAAAUAGGUGCUACUCUCGUUACUGGAAUGCUUCUCUCUGAUCCACCAGCCCCAGGAGAAGGACCCUGUCCUCAUUUUGCAAGCAAGGAAAUGGAGGCUCAGAGGAAAGAGUUUACCCUCCCACCGGGAGCGGCAGAACCAAGAGCCAGCCCCAACUCCACCCCAAAGCCUGGAUGUGGCCGUGGCUCCUGAGUGGGCCGCCCCUGUCCCCUUCUGGGCAUACUAGUUAGGGGGUGAAAUCUGGGAUCACCCUCCUGAGCUCUACCCCAAGAACACUGAAUCGUGUGCUCAGGCUCCCAGCUCAGCACAGCCCUGUCAGCUCUGUGUGUUUAGUGGCCUGGCCCCAGAAUCAAAG